UCUAGUUCUGACCUCUCUGUUUGCCAUCUACAAACUUCUUCUUUGGAGCAGGAUUCAUGUCUAGAGAACCAAAUAAGAAGCAAACAGAAAAAUUCAUAAAAUCCAUAAAGCACAAAUGGGAAAAAGCAUCCUGAAUCCACAGAGUGACGGGCCUAGGUCAAUGUGUUCAUCCUCUGUAUGCUAGUCAUACAGUUCAUGCCAUCCAGGCUCAGAUCAUAAGCUCCUGCCCGUGGAUGGCUCUGUGGAGCACUUGGCAUGUUCUGAGUGCCCUGUACGUGUGGAGGAUGUGAGCCUGCCUUCAGAGGAUGUCUCCUAGGAGGAAGGUGCUAUGCAAAUUCUGGUAUUGUUAUUCUUUUAGCACAAAUUUAUAAUUGACUUUCCGUUAAAUAUUGCAGCAAGUUAAAUUAAUUCCGUAUGAUUACAGUCAUUAAACAAGUGCCUGGUAAUGACUGCCUUCUUAUUUUAGCAUUCCUCAACUCACUGGGGUAAUACCAUCUAAGGCUUUCGCUCCAUUGUUAGAUUAAUUGGGAUGCACAACCUACGUUUUGCAACAGAGCAUGCACACUGCGUUAGAGCAACCAGACCAUGAUUGAAGGUUACUUCUGGACUAAUUUACCUUUCAGUUUUUUCCUAUUGCUCUUGCCAUUCCAUUAGGUACAAUUUACCAGUUCAUUACAGCCUGCUGGUAGCUUAAGGCAAUUUCUACCUGUUAAAAAAGAAGUGUGCUUUUAAAACAACAACGUGGACAGGCAUUCAUUCUCCCCUGAUUCUUCUUCUGACACUGAAACUAACCCCAAACGAUAGGGACUGUGAUGAUUUUAACCUGUUUUCCCAUUGGUGUGGCCACCCCCAGAAUUACCUGCCAUCUUAGCAAGCAGGACAGAAAUAGUUAAGUCCUGAGGCUGUGAGUUAAACACUCUGCCUGAGAGAGAAGCCAUGGAAGAUGUCCCAGCCAGGAGUGCAGGAUCGCUGCCAGGUGUGGAUGGAGAGAGGCUGCCCUCCUGAAGCCACGCUUCACAAUCCAGGUCAUCUGUCUGCUGCCACCUUAGCCACUGGCCUGAUUCUGUGGAGUACACUGCAGGGGAACACCCUGCCAGUCAGCUGACUGCCGUGUCAGAGCUGCUGCUGUCUGCAGUAUCUCAACUGCCGGAGCUCCGGUCCUGUAGUUUCCUGGUCGCAAUGCGACAGAGCCAAGGCAGACAGCGAGGCACAAAGCGCCAGAGUUUUAAAGUGUUCUUUUCCUGCUACCGCUUAGCAUUUCUUACAUGAGGAGUAUUUACCUUUGCGUAGCCAGCAGCAGAGAAGCAGUCUGCAUGCACGCGGCGGCUUCUAACUUGGCAGCGUGAAUUGUCAGCAGAGCAGGUACUGCUCGGAGCCUUGUAGCCAAGCUGCCUGGCGGAGCGCGGCUGGUUUCCCACCACCGGUGGGAAUGGUUUGGGGGCUCCUUAUGCCAGGCCACCAGACCUGCAGGAAUAAAGCUAGGACGAAGGAGACGCUGCUUGCCCGCUGCUUGCCACGGUGGGUCUGGCCGGGGCCUGUGCGGGUAACUCCACCGAAGUGACGCUCGCUGUGCGACCCUCCCAGCUCACAGUUAAGGCUGGUCCGGGAGCUGGCGCAGAUCCCCAGUCCUCAGUUAGAACACGGUGUCACGGCGAAGCCAGACUCACUGACCUAAGUCACUCCCGGUCCUGUCUGGAUGCGGGGACAGCUGUCGACUAGCAGUGACCCAACCAGCCAUCAAGUGGACAAUGCCUGUGAUGCAGCCUGGGUGCAGGUGGAGCCUGGGAGAAUGCAGUCUGAUUUCCGUCAUCCGAUGGCUUCUUCUUAUUUUCCUAACUAAUCGUGCUCGCUAAGUAUACAGUUGUCUGGAUUAGGCUGCCUUCCGUGCAGGCUUCAUCUGCUCUGGCUGCGAAUCAGGGUGCCAGGCUAGCCUGCUUUAGUCCUGGCUCCUGUCUGCGUGAUGCUCGCUAUGCACUAGGAUGGGUCACACUGACAACAAAGAAGGAAGCAGAAAGCAUCACUUUAUCUUCUCUUGUGGUGUUAGCGGAACCUAACUCUUCUUCGCAGUGCUGCCCGUGUGUGUGUGUGUGUGUGUGUGUGUGUGUGUGUGUGUGUGUGUGUUUUAAUUCAUCUGAUCGAACAGCCUCACAGAUAUCAUCAUGGAUGUGGUUUUAAUGAUUUGGGAAAAAAAGACAGCCUGUGGAGACAGCGAUUCGAGACUGCAGCACAUUUAGGUUAUUGCCAAUUCGAGCUACUUUGGUUUGUGAAGCUGAGCCCUCAGGGACAAGCUGGGUAACUGAGAAGGAGAUGGUAGAUAAAGAAAUAAAAAUGACAAGCGUAAUGGAGGCUCUGUGAAGGGACUGUCAGAGCAUCGGUUCAUGGAUGGCAAUUUCGCCAGGCUGAGACUGAAUAAUUCAUAGAGUGAAAUUACCCUGCUUUCACCUUCCCAUCCAAACCGGCAUGAUCCGAAUCUCUAAUAAAUUUUCAAGAUAAAGUAAAAUGCCAAUUUGAAACUGAAGAGCUUUUAAAGCCAGAUGCUGCAUCCCUGCAUCUUUCGGUAUCUUUCACAAUUAUCCUGUGAGAACUGCACUUCAUCACGAAGCAUCAUUACCAGGGAGAAUGACUGUGAUUAUAAUAGCAACAAUAGGAUACCAUCAAAUGAUCUCUAAUUUACCUAAUUUGCUAAGACUGGCUGUGUGGUGUUAGCGCCCAUUGUCUGUCACCACGCCUAGCCCCCCGGAUCUUUCUCGCACCGGAACAACAGUGCGGCAGCCUGUGUGAUACCUUCUGUCUGAAAGCCCAGCUAAGAACGUUCUCCUAGGUUACUGUGUCUCUUUCGUUUGGUCUGCAUUUUUUGCAUUCUUGUGUGUUUGUUUUUUCCCCAAAGACUGUACCCCAAAUGCCUGUUUGGGGAAAUGGUGAGCUUGUCGUGGGUUUGGGGUUGAUUCGUUUAUAACGAGAGAGCAUCCUCUUGCUAAUUUAUACACGCUCUUUAUUUUAAUGUAUACAAGCAUGUGUUUACCGGAAGGGAGGAAGAUUCUGUUCUGAGAGGGUAGCUUUAAAAUGCAGCCAAGGUGCAAGCGGUGUCCUUGUGUCUUUUUUGAAACCCCUGGUGUGAUGUGUUACAAACUUCUCUGAUGGCAACGUCACAUCCAGUAAUAGCUCUCCUGCAGCCUUUAUUAAAAGCGUGUAUGUUCGUUCGACUGAGUGAUUAAACGAUGCUUUUUGGCUGUUUGUGUCUGAUUGCUCUCUAGCAGAAGUCGAACCUAAAGAGAACUUUUUCUCUGACAGGCUGCACACUUCAUCUCAGGGCAGUUCUGCCAUCCUGAGAAAGAGGCAUGGUUCAUAGAGCCUCGCUGGGAACAGACUGUAAACAUUUAAUGGGCACGGUGACUUCUGGAAUUACUCUCAGUAGCAUGAAGACAGUCAGUGGGUUCCCACUAGUCAAGUGAUUGAAGUUUGAAUAUCUCAGGUGGGAUUUCUGAGAGAUGAAGAUCCUUGGGGAGAAGGGGACUCUGAGUCCUGGCCAUCUGGACUUUCCUUGGUCCCAGGGGCAAGUCAACAGGCCCUUGUUUUCAAGUGUGUGCUCAGGGAGAUGUGAUGCCUAGAGCUAUAAUAGCCACCUUGGAGCCAUGAAGGAAAAGGCCAAGAGAAUCACAGACAUUGAUCCCACAUUUGUGAGCUAUUGAACCACUGCCAGCAACCACUAACCUCCAAACUCCUAAUAAGAAAAAUCCAUUCCUAUCCCUUUAAGUCACUGCCGUUGGGCUUUCUAUUCUAUUUACAAUUGAUCUCAGUGCUAUCUGAAAUGCAUCAUCUGAAAGACUUCGUGGCCGGAGAGUCAUAAAUCCAUUCAAUUUCUCCAGGCAGGCUCUGUUCUCUGACUGCACUUUCCUAAAUCCCUCCCUUCCCCAAUCAAAUCUGGCUCAUGGAGGCAUUGGCUUCUUUGUUGCUUUUCUCUAUUUAUCCUGGAGUUAGCUCUCUCUCUCUGCCACCCCAUCCCUAGAUCUGCUUCAUCUUUAAGGGCACAUACUUGUCUGUAGUCUCUUUUGUAGACCCAGCUCUACACGGUUCCCCAGUAAGACACAUGUGUGUUUCUGUGCAGCCUAGAUUUUCCUGUGCGGUCUCAUUGUAGUUUCCUUUCCCAUCACUCUGUAAACGCAUUUACACUUGUUACAUCACAUGUCCUGUUUUGUUGUGUUUGUUACAUCACAUGUCCUGUUUUGGGGGACAGUAAUAAAAUUAAUUCAGUGUCUCUUAGUUCUAUAUUAGUUUAUAGAAUAAUGCCAGUGCCCCUUCCUGCUUUAGCUUCUCACAAAACAAAUUUUCCAGCUAUAAUGCAGUUCACUGGUUUCUCCAAGUCCCUCUGCUAGAAAUGCAAAGCAGGGGCAG